GGUAGAUCCGCCCCUGUGACUGCGAUCUUUACACGCCACCACCGUGUGAAGGGGAGACAGAAUCAGAUCAUUGAGCUGGGGAAGAAUGUGAAGAGCUACCACUACAUCCUAGCAAACCUGGUGAUUUGCAUAUUUUCACUACUGACCAAUCGCAAGAAGCUGCUCACUAUGACUAACAGACGAGAUGUUAUAUAAACGGUGCCUGGAGAACUGCUUUGUGAAUAUGAAAAACUACAAGUGAUGUCUGCAGUCCUUGUCUGUAGGUGCGCUCAGCAUAUGAGAAUGGAGGGCUAAAUUGAUGUAAACAGAAAUGAUGAUAAUCACAGCAUUAAUAUGCUGUGGUGUGCUCCUGGAUGGCACACUGCUGAGGAUU